UACGGAGGAUGCAAGCGUUAUCCGGAAUGAUUGGGCGUAAAGCGUCCGCAGGUGGCCAUGUAAGUCUGCUGUCAAAGCGUCUGGCUCAACCAGAUAAAGGCAGUGGAAACUACAUAGCUAGAGUAAGGUAGGGGUAGAGGGAAUUCCUGGUGUAGCGGUGAAAUGCGCAGAUAUCAGGAAGAACACCAAUGGCGAAGGCAGCUCUCUGGGACGGUACUGACACUGAGACGCGAAAGCGUGGGGAGCGAACAGG
rnacentral:rRNA from 1 species